CGUGCGGCCUCCAGCCACACAUCCUCGCUCUGCGGAUAGAACGCAAGCAUGCGCAACCACACACAUGCACGCACAGGUCCCAAAGGAACAUUUGAAGAUGUCCUGGGCUUAUAAGACCUUGUUGUGUCAGGAAAAACACAACCCAAAACCGCCACAACAAACCAAAUGACCCUUCUGGAAUUUCCAGAGAUUAUUUGUGGAGUUGACAAUGUCAGCCACAGAAGACUGAAGCUCAAGAAAUCCCUACCAUGUUCGACAUUCCUGCAUUUUAGUGGUUCUUAACUGGACUGAAGAGGGGCAGUGGUGCAGUGUGUACCUGACUGAGCCUCAUAUCCAUUAGAGUGUUUCUGG